rnacentral:rRNA from 1 species
GACGAACGCUGGCGGCGUGCUUAACACAUGCAAGUAGAACGAGUGGCGAACGGGUGAGUAACACGUGGGUGACCUGCCCUGCACUUCGGGAUAAGCCUGGGAAAAUGGGUCUAAUACCGGCUAGUGUGGGAUGGGCCCGCGGCCUAGCAGCUGUUUGGUGGGGUAAUGGCUACCAAGGCGCGACGGGUAGCAGGCCUGGGAGGAUGAUCAGCCACACUGGGACUGAGACACGGCCCAGACUCCUACGGGAGGCAGCAGUGGGGAAUAUUGCACAAUGGGCGAAAGCCUGAUGCAGCCAUGCCGCGUGUAUGAAGAAGGCCUUAGGGUUGUAAAGUACUUUCAGCGGGGAGGCGUUACCCGCAGAAGAAGCACCGGCUAACUCCGUGCCAGCAGCCGCGGUAAUAC